GGGCGCCACUUCCGGCGUCGCUGCCUUGCGUCACUUCCGGUUCCGGCGGCGGCGCUGAGGGCGCUCGGGAGUUUUCCCAGGAUGAUCGAGGUUGUCUGUAACGACCGGCUGGGGAAGAAGGUUCGGGUCAAGUGCAACCCCGAGGAUUCCAUCCGGGACCUGAAGAAGUUGAUCGCGGCGCAGACGGGCACCCGCUGGGACAAGAUCGUGCUCAAGAAAUGGUACACCAUCUUCAAGGACCACGUGACCCUCGGGGACUAUGAGAUCCAUGACGGGAUGAACCUGGAGCUCUACUACCAGUAGCAGCUCCCAGUUCCUCCCAGUUCCCUCCCAGUCCCUCCCAGUCCUUCCCAGUGCCCUCCCAGUCCCUCCCAGUCCACGAUGGGAUGAACCUGGAGCUCUGGCACCUCCCAGUGCCCUCCCAGUGCCUCCCAGUUCUCUCCCAGUGCCUCCCAGUCCACAGUGGGAUGAAUCUGGAGCUCUGGCACUGCCCAGUUCUCUCCCAGUCCCUCCCAGUUCA